GCACCCUCGAACCCUAGCAAGGGUUUCGGAACUGGGCCAUGCGGGCUUCUCCCAAGAAGCGUGCCGGCCUGAAAUUCAAUCGCGACCGCACCCGGAACCUCUUGGGGCUUUGGGAGAAGGCGUCAUAGUUGGCCUCUGGGCCAUCUUUCGCCGAUCUUCUCAUCGUCUUGGGGCUGGGCUUUCUGGAUCACGCAACCUUGUCAGGGGGGAGACCUCCCGACGCUCUCAAAU
rnacentral:misc_RNA from 1 species